rnacentral:rRNA from 1 species
AUUGAACGCUGGCGGCAUGCUUUACACAUGCAAGUCGAACGGUAACAGGGGAGCUUGCUCCCGCUGACGAGUGGCGAACGGGUGAGUAAUGCAUCGGAACGUGCCGAAUAGUGGGGGAUAACGCACCGAAAGGUGUGCUAAUACCGCAUACGCCCUGAGGGGGAAAGUGGGGGACCGCAAGGCCUCACGCUAAUCGAGCGGCCGAUGUCGGAUUAGCUAGUUGGUGGGGUAAAGGCUCACCAAGGCGACGAUCCGUAGCGGGUCUGAGAGGAUGAUCCGCCACACUGGGACUGAGACACGGCCCAGACUCCUACGGGAGGCAGCGGUGGGGAAUUUUGGACAAUGGGGGAAACCCUGAUCCAGCCAUGCCGCGUGUCUGAAGAAGGCCUUCGGGUUGUAAAGGACUUUUGUCCGGGAGGAAACCCUGAUCGUUAAUAGCGGUCGGGACUGACAGUACCGGAAGAAUAAGCACCGGCUAACUACGUGCCAGCCGCCGCAGUAACAC